AACAUAAGUAUAAGGUAAAAUGGCUGAGCAAGCAUUAGACUGUAAAUCUAAAGACAGAGGUAGAACCCUCUUUUUACC
rnacentral:tRNA from 1 species